AUUGAACGCUGGCAGCAGGCUUAACACAUGCAAGUCGAGCGGAGAUGAGGUGCUUGCACCUUAUCUUAGCGGCGGACGGGUGAGUAAUGCUUAGGAAUCUGCCUAUUAGUGGGGGACAACAUUCCGAAAGGAAUGCUAAUACCGCAUACGCCCUACGGGGGAAAGCAGGGGAUCUUCGGACCUUGCGCUAAUAGAUGAGCCUAAGUCGGAUUAGCUAGUUGGUGGGGUAAAGGCCUACCAAGGCGACGAUCUGUAGCGGGUCUGAGAGGAUGAUCCGCCACACUGGGACUGAGACACGGCCCAGACUCCUACGGGAGGCAGCAGUGGGGAAUAUUGGACAAUGGGCGGAAGCCUGAUCCAGCCAUGCCGCGUGUGUGAAGAAGGCCUUUUGGUUGUAAAGCACUUUAAGCGAGGAGGAGGCUUCUUUGGUUAAUACCCAAAGUAAGUGGACGUUACUCGCAGAAUAAGCACCGGCUAACUCUGUGCCAGCAGCCGCCGUAACAC
rnacentral:rRNA from 1 species